UGUGAAACAGCCUGGACGCGGGGUGUAUCCUAGUUGUGGACAUUUUUUCUCCGUCACAGAAAACGACUGAGCCUGAGCAACAACUGGACUAGAUACCUGAAUGGUUGCCUCACAAACUGAAACCAAGUGUUCUGUCUACGAUACAAUGCAGGAGACGAUCAAUCAUGUUUAGAUGAACGUCUGAACUGUAAACUGUGGUUCUAGCAUCUUUUUGAGUUGCUGGUUGAGCUGAUUAUUGAUAUCAGACAAGAUCUAGUAGCAGUGAAGACAGUCAAAUUCUGACUGGAUUGCUAGUGUCGCUGAUAUUGACAUUUCCCCACCUAGACUCCUCGCGUACUCCACGUGUUUUGGCACGUGCUUUUUGUCCCUUUGCUAGGAGAAGUAAGAGCACGUGCCAAAACACGUGGAGCGCGCGCGAGGAGGAGGCCUGGGUAGAGUCUACAUUCCACCUACUUUGUUCGUUCUCAUUUCAUACCCUAUUGUGGCCAGAUGUAGUAGCAGUGAAAACAACUAGAUUGUCA